rnacentral:rRNA from 1 species
ACUGAAACACGGCCCAAACUCCUACGGGAGGCAGCAGUGGGGAAUAUUGCACAAUGGGCGAAAGCCUGAUGCAGCAACGCCGCGUGAGGGACGACGGCCUUCGGGUUGUAAACCUCUUUUAGUAGGGAAGAAGCGAAAGUGACGGUACCUGCAGAAAAAGCACCGGCUAACUACGUGCCAGCAGCCGCGGUAAUACGUAGGGUGCAAGCGUUGUCCGGAAUUAUUGGGCGUAAAGAGCUCGUAGGCGGUUUGUCGCGUCUGCUGUGAAAACCCGAGGCUCAACCUCGGGCCUGCAGUGGGUACGGGCAAACUAAA